UCCACACAUUGAGGAUCGAUUUCCUCAGCCAAGGGAAGUUGUUAAUCAAACCUGGGAAACCAUUUUGGGGGGCGUUAGAAUUGAAAUUAAAAUUUGGGGCUUCCUUCAUCGCAACCCUCUCCAUUCUCAUUUGACGAUUUUAUUGGUUGCAAGGGUGAAUUAAGGAGUUCGAGCUGCUUGCAGGGAGACCACACCACCAUUUCCCUUUCCUCUCCACGAUCUAGCAAGCCAAGUCGACUCUAGGGAGAGUCGCUUCUUCUUCACUCUCAAAGCGAUUUCAUUGGUCUGUAGAGGGCGACUUGGGCAGAUUGGGUUCGGUGGGGAGAACACUCAAGAUUCCCCUCUCUUUCCCCGUGAUUUCUACAGGGUACUUGUGUUUGAAUGAGACCUGUCUGCAGGAAGACCAACAUCGCCUCCCCACCACGUGUUUUGCUGAAGAAACGAAUCAUUAUUAUUUACUGUAGUAAAAAGUUCCAUUAUGGCUGAGACUUCUAGUGCGGGUAAUUGGGAGAAGCUUCCUUUAUACCCUUCACAACUGCUGGAAAUCAUUAAAUAAAUUCAUACAGGUUGAUAGAAAAGGGUCGAUUCUUCUCAGUUAACCUAUAUUUCAUUCUAGUUAUUAUGGUUUUUAUUUCAUCCCUUUAUUUUCCAUUGAUCAUUUAAUCGGAUCUAAUGUCAUGAUACAAUGAAACUUGUUAUCAAUCAGUAAUAAAUCUAUCCAUUUAACUCA